UUCCGAGGAACCAAUUGAUCCAGCUGC
rnacentral:piRNA from 1 species